GCCCAUGACGAUAAACCACUUACGACGGUCUUAUGACACACACCCGAACAUGGAUUGAGCACGAGUGUUACGAUAGUUUCUGGGGCGCCGCACAACAUUCCAGCCGCGUGCGUCCUGCGUCCGAGGCGU